GGCAUCUACAAAACCGUGUGUCGAGUGCCGUGCCUGACGGUGUAGAACGAUCACGUCUUCGAGAAAGAACCGCUACCCUGGAACAGCUGUCGAGGCCCAGCACAACCCACACGUUCCGGCAGUUGGAUACGCCUCGAAAAAGUUCACUGACACAAAUGGAAUUUGCUGCUCACACAUGGACAGGUCAAAGUAUUUUGACAGGUCAGCUUUUCUCCAUAUAUAAAUAAAGUGAUGUAAUAUGUGAGAUUUCAAGUUUCAGAAAGUGAAAUGCAAGAUUAUCUACCUUGAUAAGCCUGUUCUGCUUGUGUAGGAGGGAAUAGCAAGUGUCUGUGGCCUGUGGCCUGACCUCGGAAACCUCGAUCACAGAGCACACCUGCACAGACACGCACGCACUCACCUGCUGUCAGGUCAAGAAGGGGGAAAUGUCCAAAAGCUCUCCAUGAACUGGGGGCCUCACUCUAAAAAGAAUGCUGUCUUGGGAGAAGUCAGUCCCUUGUUUGCUAUAGAGUUUUCAUGCUCUAUUUCUAAGUGGAACUUUAAUCUUAGAUUCUCUUUGAAAAUCUGAUGAUGAAAAUGCCUGAGAAAAUUAACACAGAUUUGCUAAUUACUUUAUAACAUAAGGUUUUACAGAGAAAUACGUAUUCUCAGCCUGGCGUGUUGUUCGCAGGACAUUCUAGUUUGAAUACGGGCUGGUGAUGUUUCCACUUCCAGAACAGUCACCAACGCUUUUUCAGGGCGGUAGUGUGGCCUCAUCAUGAGGUGUGCUGCUCUGGAGUCUGACGUUGGGUUUCCACCCUCGCUCUGCCACCAGCUGUGCAACCCUAGGAAUGUCCCAACCCCUCUGGCCCUCAGCUUCCUCUUUUAUAAGAAGCUGGGUAGAUAAAAUAAUUAUUGAAAAUCUGUGAAAAGGACCUAGCUAGAUACCAGGCAUAUAUUGCUCAAAAAUUAUGAAGUAUGAACCAUUUGUAUUAUAAAUGAUCUGAAAUUUCAGGGAUAAUUUAUUGUUUUACAGAGAAUUUUAAACAUAUAAUCCUAAAAAUAAAUUUCGUA